GUUCCUGUAGCGCAAUGGAGCGCGUUGGACUUCUAAUACAAAAGUCGUGGGUUUGAACUCUACCUGGGAUG
rnacentral:tRNA from 1 species